rnacentral:rRNA from 1 species
UACGAAGGGGGCUAGCGUUGCUCGGAAUCACUGGGCGUAAAGCGCACGUAGGCGGACUCUUAAGUCGGUGGUGAAAUCCUGGAGCUCAACUCCAGAACUGCCUUCGAUACUGGGAGUCUUGAGUCCGGGAGAGGUGAGUGGAACUGCGAGUGUAGAGGUGAAAUUCGUAGAUAUUCGCAAGAACACCAGUGGCGAAGGCGGCUACCUGGACCAGCACUGACACUGAAGCACGAAAGCGUGGGGAGCAAACAGG